AGGUGUUGACUGGUCUGACUGCUGCCCUUCUGCCUGAGAGUUCAAACUGAAGGGAGUAGAACAUAUGUGCUUGGUCUGCCAUCUUAAACCAGAAGUCUGAAAGAUGGGUCUGAGUGCUGCUCGCAAGGAUCGCUUAGAUUGAGGAUAACAGACACCAGAGCCUCGCCACCAUAAACAUUUCCACAAGAACCGGUCUCUCACUGAACCUGGAACUCACUGACUGAGCUAGAGUUAAUGUUGACAAAGCCCCAGGAAUCCUUUGGUCUUCUACCCCUCAACAUCUGCAGUACAGGCUGCUUUGUGUGUUUGCAGAGAAGAAAGCAAGGGAAGAUCAGACGCCUGCAGCAGAGGAUUUGGAUCAGAAACCUGAACCGAGGUCGGCCUGCGUCAUCGCGUCAUCCGCAACACUCAUUCUCACUUAGAGCAAGAGAUGAGUUAGGGGAAGGGUGGGGACUUUUGAAUCCAAUUUCUCUGUCCCAUCCCAUGAGGCUUUGAGAUGUGCUACCACCUGGAAUUCAGGUCCUUUCAGUGAAGGUCACCUUUAGAUCCUGGUUGUGCUCCUUUUACAUUAGCAUUUCUCACUAGAACAUCCCUCCACCCCUCGUCGUUCCAGCCGGUGCCCACGGGUAUUUGAACAGAUCACAGGAUACCACCGCUUGUGUAUCAAAAGCAAACAAAACAGUUUGGAAAACGGAUCCUCUAUAAAGCGUGUGUACCUCAAGGAUUAAAGCCCGCAAAUGAACCAGUUUGUUCA